AUUGACCGCUGGCGGCAGGCCUAACACAUGAAAGUCGAGCGGAGCGGCGGACGGGUGAGUAAUGCCUAGGAAUCUGCCUGGUAGUGGGGGAUAACGUCCGGAAACGGGCGCUAAUACCGCAUACUAUCAGAUGAGCCUCGGGCGGAUUAGCUAGUUGGGGGGGUAAAGGCCUACCAAGGCGACGAUCCCUAACGGGUCUGAGCGGAUGAUCAGUCACACUGGAACUGAGACACGGUCCAGCCUCCGACGGGAGGCAGCAGGGGUGGAUAUUGGACAAUGGGCGAAAGCCUGAUCCAGCCAUGCCGCGUGUGUGAAGAAGGUCUUCGGAUUGUAAAGCACUUUAAGUUGGGAGGCAUUGCCAACAGAAUGAGCACCGGCUAACUUCGUGCCAGGCGCCGCGGUAAUUC
rnacentral:rRNA from 1 species